UACGGAGGAUGCGAGCGUUAUCCGGAUUUAUUGGGUUUAAAGGGUGCGUAGGCGGCCGAGUAAGUCAGCGGUGAAAUUUUGCAGCUUAACUGUAACAGUGCCGUUGAUACUGCAUGGCUAGGAUUUGGUUGCUGUGGGUGGAAUGUGUGGUGUAGCGGUGAAAUGCUUAGAUAUCACACAGAAUAUCGAUUGCGAAGGCAGCUUACUAAUCCAUCAUUGACGCUGAGGCACGAAAGCGUGGGGAUCAAA
rnacentral:rRNA from 1 species